rnacentral:rRNA from 1 species
UACGGAGGGUGCAACCGUUGCUCGGAAUUAUUGGGCGUAAAGCGCACGUAGGUGGUCUAUCAAGUCAGGUGUGAAAGCCCUGGGCUCAACCCAGGAAGUGCACUUGAAACUGACAGGCUUGAGUAUGGAAGAGGGUCGCGGAAUUCCCGGUGUAGAGGUGAAAUUCGUAGAUAUCGGGAGGAACACCAGUGGCGAAGGCGGCGACCUGGGCCAAUACUGACACUGAGGUGCGAAAGCGUGGGGAGCAAACAGG